rnacentral:rRNA from 1 species
GACGAACGCUGGCGGCGUGCCUAAUACAUGCAAGUAGGACGCACAGUUUAUACCGUAGCUUGCUACACCAUAGACUGUGAGUUGCGAACGGGUGAGUAACGCGUAGGUAACCUGCCUAUUAGAGGGGGAUAACUAUUGGAAACGAUAGCUAAUACCGCAUAACAGUAUGUAACACAUGUUAGAUGCUUGAAAGAUGCAAUUGCAUCGCUAGUAGAUGGACCUGCGUUGUAUUAGCUAGUAGGUAGGGUAAAGGCCUACCUAGGCAACGACACAUAGCCGACCUGAGAGGGUGAUCGGCCACACUGGGACUGAGACACGGCCCAGACUCCUACGGGAGGCAGCAGUAGGGAAUCUUCGGCAAUGGGGGGAACCCUGACCGAGCAACGCCGCGUGAGUGAAGAA